CGUAACUCAUUUACCAAUGUUUAAAAGGUGGAAAUGACUUUACUGAACAUCUUUUCAAAAGCUAUUUCAGAGAUGAAUCCAAUAGUUGGGAAAAUACAUAAAAUCUCUCUUUCCAAAGGAAGUGACUAUUGAAGUUCAUUUUAUAGGUUUGAACGUCAGACAUUUGGUUGAGUAUCAAUACCAUCCCACACAAAGAUAAGCCAUUGAUCUUAUGAAACCUCACUAUGGUAAAGGAUCUUGCAUGCCGAAUUAAUGUUGGAACGUCAGACAUUUGGUUGAGUAUCAAUACCAUCCCACACAAAGAUAAGCCAUUGAUCUUAUGAAACCUCACUAUGGUAAAGGAUCUUGCAUGCCGAAUUAAUGUAAGUUUCUUCUUUGAUUUC